rnacentral:rRNA from 1 species
GGCCGAUUAGCUAGUUGGUGAGGUAACGGCCCACCAAGGCGACGAUCGGUAGCCGGCCUGAGAGGGCACACGGCCACACUGGCACUGAAGCACGGGCCAGACUCCUACGGGAGGCAGCAGUGGGGAAUCUUGCACAAUGGGGGAAACCCUGAUGCAGCGACGCCGCGUGAGCGAUGAAGCCCCUCGGGGUGUAAAGCUCUUUCGGCAGGAACGAUAAUGACGGUACCUGAAGAAGAAGCUGCGGCUAACUACGUGCCAGCAGCCGCGGUAAUACGUAGGCAGCGAGCGUUGUUCGGAAUUACUGGGCGUAAAGAGUGUGUAGGCGGUGCCUUAAGUUCGGUGUGAAAUCUCCUGGCUCAACUGGGAGGGUGCGCCGGAAACUGGGGUGCUCGAGCGUGGGAGAGGAAAGCGGAAUUCCUGGUGUAGCGGUGAAAUGCGUAGAUAUCAGGAGGAACACCUGCGGUGUAGACGGCUUUCUGGACCAUUGUUGACGCUGAGACACGAAAGCGUGGGUAGCA